UCUUCACAAGAAAACAAUAAUCCGCUAGAAAUGUAUUACGAUAUGACGUCGGUGUCAUUCUGUCAGAUACUACUACUAUCUGACUAGUCUAUAUAAAUAGUAGAACUCACGUAUCAGUUUGUGAAAGUUCUUUUUUUGUCAAAACAACUUCACGCAAAAGAAGAAUGGCCAAGUGGCAGCUCAUUUUUAUUCUCAGCCUAGCAUUGUUGGUGGCCUGUACUGACUCGGCACCAGCUCCACUCCAAAGACAAAAGAGAGUGAG